rnacentral:lncRNA from 1 species
GGUGUAGGAAUAAGAAACAAGAGACUAGGGAUAGCAAUGAGAAAUUGGAAAUGAAGGACGAAGAUGAAGAGUCGAGAAUAAGAAAUUAAAGAAUAGAAGACUAGAGAUUAGAAACAAGUGACUAGAAAUAAAUAAUGGAGAUAGGAGAUUUGUAAUAAAAAUAACUAAUAAAUGAAGACAAGUAACUGAGAAUGAGAGAUGGAGAUAAGAGAUUGAGAGAAUCAAUGAUAAGAUAGCAAAGAUGAAUGUGGCUCUAACAACAUUGAGAUAUGACUUUAUCAACUCCCAAAAUUUCUUAGUACUUUAGAUUGAAAUAUAAGAAUAUUUUAUUUUAUCAAUGAAAUUAUGAAUAAAAUAUCAAUAAGGUCUUAAGCAUUAAUUUUUAAUUUUUUAAUUUUUUUAAAAUUUUUUU